rnacentral:rRNA from 1 species
UACGGGGGGGGCAAGCGUUGUUCGGAAUUACUGGGCGUAAAGGGCCAGUAGGCGGCCAACUAAGUCGGGUGUGAAAGCCCCGGGCUCAACCUGGGAAUUGCAUUCGAGACUGAAUAGCUAGGGUGCGGUAGAGGGAAGCGGAAUUUCCGGUGUAGAGGUGAAAUUCGUAGAUAUUCGGAGGAACACCAGUGGCGAAGGCGGCUCACUGGUCCAUUACUGACGCUGAGGUGGCGAAAGCGUUGGGGAGCAAACAGGG